UACGUAGGGGGCGAGCGUUGUUCGGAAUUAUUGGGCGUAAAGCGCGUGUAGGCGGUUCGGUAAGGCGGAUUUGAAACCCCUGGGCUCAACCCAGGGCCUGCAUCCGCGACUGCCGGGCUAGAGUGUGGGAGGGGAGAGCGGAAUUCCUGGUGUAGCGGUGAAAUGCGUAGAUAUCAGGAGGAACACCGGUGGCGAAGGCGGCUCUCUGGACCAUAACUGACGCUGAGACGCGAAAGCUAGGGGAGCAAACAGG
rnacentral:rRNA from 1 species